rnacentral:pre_miRNA from 1 species
UAAUCGUGAAUUAAGUUCACGAAUGGGAGAAUCACGAAGGAAUUUAUUCAUGAGUUUGGUGCAUUUGCACUAUAAACGUGAAUAUAUUCCUUCGUGGUUCUCGCAUUCGUGAAUUUAAUUCACGAUUU